AACUUUAUGGCUUCCAAUUAGACACUCAUCGCUGGUAUCCAUUGGAGCUGCGGAAGGAGAAAUCUAUAAAACCUAAGCAAAAGCAAGUUUUAGAUGAGCAAGUUGACAGCAUGGAUCUUGAUAGUAAGAUAAGUCCAAUGGAAGUUGAUGCAGACGAUGAAGAUGAGGACCUCGAUUACGAAGAAGAUACCAGCACAAAAAGCAAUAUCAAAAAAAUGUCUUUGAACAUGAAAAGGAAUGUGACUAUUGAUGAUGGCUAUGAAGCUUCUAGAUCUGAGGCUAGCUCUAAAUCUUCAGCCGUGCAACAUUCAGCUUCAGCGGAUGUAGUGAAGCCCUGUGGACGUAUAAAU
rnacentral:misc_RNA from 1 species